rnacentral:rRNA from 1 species
GACGAACGCUGGCGGCGUGCUUAACACAUGCAAGUCGAACGGAAAGGCCCCUUUGGGGGUCCUCGAGUGGCGAACGGGUGAGUAACACGUGAGUAACCUGCCCUUGACUUCGGGAUAACUUCAGGAAACUGGGGCUAAUACCGGAUAGGAAUCCUUUCUUCAUGGUGGGGGUUGGAAAGCUUCGGCGGUUUUGGAUGGACUCGCGGCUUAUCAGCUUGUUGGUGGGGUAGUGGCUUACCAAGGCGUUGACGGGUAGCCGGCCUGAGAGGGCGACCGGCCACACUGGGACUGAGAUGCGGCCCAGACUGCUACGGGAGGCAGCAGUGGGGAAUAUUGCACAAUGGGCGGAAGCCUGAUGCAGCAACGCCGCGGGCGGGAUGACGGCCUUCGGGUUGUAAACCGCUUUCAGCAGGGGCGAAGCUUGUGGUGACGGUACCUGCAGAAGAAGCACCGGCUAACUACGUG